rnacentral:rRNA from 1 species
AGUGAAUGAUGGAGGUAGGCCUAACACAUGCAAGUCGAACGGCAGCACAGUAAGAGCUUGCUCUUACGGGUGGCGAGUGGCGGAAGGGUGAGGAAUAUAACGGAAUCUACUCUUUCGUGGGGGAUAACGUAGGGAAACUUACGCCAAUACCGCAUACGACCUACGGGUGAAAGCAGGGGAUCUUCGGACCUUGCGCGAUUGAAUGAGCCGAUGUCGGAUUAGCUAGUUGGCGGGGUAAAGGCCCAGCCAGGCGACGAUACGUAGCUGGUCGGAGUGGAUGAUCGGCCACACUAGAACUUGAACACGGUCCAUGCGCCUACGGGAGGCAGCAGUGGGGAAUAUGAGGCAAAAGUCGCAAACCUUGUCCAACCAUACCGCGUGGGUUGAGAAGACCUUCGGGUUGUGAAGCCCUUUUGUUGGGAGUGAAAAGCAGCAGGUUAAUACCCCGCGUGACUGACGGUACCCGAAGAAUAAGCACCGGCUAACUACGUG